AGAGUUUGAUCAUGGCUCAGGACGAACGCUGGCGGCGUGCUUCACACAUGCAAGUCGAACGGGGCUCAUCCGGUGGUAACACUGGAGAAGGCCUAGUGGCGAACGGGUGAGUAACACGUGAGGAACCUGCCCCGAAGACCGGGAUAACAGCGGGAAACCGCUGCUAAUACCGGAUGUCCCCAUCAGGCCGCAUGGCCAGG
rnacentral:rRNA from 1 species